rfam:Rattus norvegicus chromosome 10, whole genome shotgun sequence.
UUUUCCCUUCGUCUGCCCCGAGAAUGUUCAGGUGGGUGCGUUUGGUAUAAAUGCCUUUCAGAAACAACUGAAACCACCUCUUCCCUUCGCCUCUUUCACCGCAGCCGCCUGGGCGCUUUGUGGGAGUUGACGG